rnacentral:rRNA from 1 species
ACCUGGGAACUGCAUCUGAUACUGGCAAGCUUGAGUCUCAUAGAGGGGGGUAGAAUUCCAG